rnacentral:rRNA from 1 species
GACGUAGGAGGCGAGCGUUGUCCGGAUUCAUUGGGCGUAAAGAGCGCGCAGGCGGCUUGGUAGGUCGGAUGUGAAAACCCGAGGCUCAACCUCGGGCGUGCAUCCGAAACUGCUCGGCUAGAGGUAGGUAGGGGAGAUCGGAAUUCCUGGUGUAGCGGUGAAAUGCGCAGAUAUCAGGAGGAACACCGGUGGCGAAGGCGGGAUCCUGGGCCAGUACUGACGCUGAGGAGCGAAAGCGUGGGGAGCAAACAGG